rnacentral:rRNA from 1 species
CCUACGAGCGGCAGCAGUGGGGAAUAUUGGACAAUGGGGGCAACCCUGAUCCAGCCAUGCCGCGUGUGUGAAGAAGGCCCUCGGGUUGUAAAGCACUUUCAGUGAGGAAGAACGCCUGGUGGUUAAUACCCAUCAGGAAAGACAUCACUCACAGAAGAAGCACCGGCUAACUCCGUGCCAGCAGCCGCGGUAAUACGGAGGGUGCGAGCGUUAAUCGGAAUUACUGGGCGUAAAGCGCGCGUAGGUGGCUUGAUAAGCCGGUUGUGAAAGCCCCGGGCUCAACCUGGGAACGGCAUCCGGAACUGUCAAGCUAGAGUGCAGGAGAGGAAGGUAGAAUUCCCGGUGUAGCGGUGAAAUGCGUAGAGAUCGGGAGGAAUACCAGUGGCGAAGGCGGCCUUCUGGACUGACACUGACACUGAGGUGCGAAAGCGUGGGUAGCAAACAGGAUUAGAUACCCUGGUAGUC